CCUCGCCUGGGUGAAUACAUAUUCUCAACUCAAGUUACCUACUCUACCCACACUCUUGUGUAGGGAACAUACUGCUCUGCUACCUCAAGCCCCAUUUCUGAGAUUGGAACUGAGUCUCCCAGUGGAAACUGAGAAACUUUUCCCCUGUAUUGUUCCCUUGGGACCUCGCCUGGGUGAAUACAUAUUCUCAACUCAAGUUACCUACUCUACCCACACUCUUGUGUAGGGAACAUACUGCUCUGCUACCUCAAGCCCCAUUUCUGAGAUUGGAACUGAGUCUCCCAGUGGAAACUGAGAAACUUUUCCCCUGUAUUGUUCCCUUGGGACCUCGCCUGGGUGAAUACAUAUUCUCAACUCAAGUUACCUACUCUACCCACACUCUUGUGUAGGGAACAUACUGCUCUGCUACCUCAAGCCCCAUUUCUGAGAUUGGAACUGAGUCUCCCAGUGGAAACUGAGAAACUUUUCCCCUGUAUUGUUCCCUUGGGACCUCGCCUGGGUGAAUACAUAUUCUCAACUCAAGUUACCUACUCUACCCACACUCUUGUGUAGGGAACAUACUGCUCUGCUACCUCAAGCCCCAUUUCUGAGAUUGGAACUGAGUCUCCCAGUGGAAACUGAGAAAGUAUGUGCAUUUGCUGCUAC